UACGUAGGGUGCAAGCGUUGUCCGGAAUUAUUGGGCGUAAAGAGCUCGUAGGCGGUCUGUCGCGUCUGCUGUGAAAAUCAGGGCUCAACCCUGGACCUGCAGUGGGUACGGGCAGACUAGAGUGCGGUAGGGGAGAUCGAAUUCCUGGUGUAGCGGUGAAAUGCGCAGAUAUCAGGAGGAACACCGGUGGCGAAGGCGGAUCUCUGGGCCGUAACUGACGCUGAGGAGCGAAAGCAUGGGAGCGAACAGG
rnacentral:rRNA from 1 species